GACGAACGCUGGCGGCGUGCUUAACACAUGCAAGUCGAACGGAAAGGCCCUGCUUUUGUGGGGUGCUCGAGUGGCGGACGGGUGAGUAACACGUGAGUAACCUGCCCUUGACUUUGGGAUAACUUCAGGAAACUGGGGCUAAUACCGGAUAGGAGCUCCUGCUGCAUGGUGGGGGUUGGAAAGUUUCGGCGGUUGGGGAUGGACUCGCGGCUUAUCAGCUUGUUGGUGGGGUAGUGGCUUACCAAGGCUUUGACGGGUAGCCGGCCUGAGAGGGUGACCGGCCACACUGGGACUUAGAUACGGCCCAGACUCCUACGGGAGGCAGCAGUGGGGAAUAUUGCACAAUGGGCGGAAGCCUGAUGCAGCAACGUCGCGUGCGGGAUGACGGCCUUCGGGUUGUAAACCGCUUUCGCCUGUGACGAAGCGUGAGUGACGGUAAUGGGUAAAGAAGCACCGGCUAACUACGUG
rnacentral:rRNA from 1 species